GAAAUGCGAUAAGUAAUGUGAAUUGCAGAAUUCAGUGAAUCAUCGAAUCUUUGAACGCACAUUGCGCCCCCUGGUAUUCCGGGGGGCAUGCCUGUUCGAGCGUCAUUUCGCCACUCAAGCCUCGCUUGGUAUUGGGCGACGCGGUCCGCCGCGCGCCUCAAAUCGACCGGCUGGGUCUUCCGUCCCCUCAGCGUUGUGGAAACUAUUCGCUAAAGGGUGCCGCGGGAGGUCACGCCGCAAAACAACCCCAUUUCUAAGGUUGACCUCGGAUCAGGUAGGGAUACCCGCUGAACUUAAGC
rnacentral:misc_RNA from 1 species